CGACGUGGUAACCUGCCUGGUAGCGGGGGGUAACUAUUGGAAACGAUAGCUAAUACCGCAUAAUAUUAAUUAUUGCAUGAUAAUUAAUUGAAAGGUGCAAUUGCACCACUACCAGAUGGACCUGCGUUGUAUUAGCUAGUAGGUGAGGUAACGGCUCACCUAGGCGACGAUACAUAGCCGACCUGAGAGGGUGAUCGGCCACACUGGGACUGAGACACGGCCCAG
rnacentral:rRNA from 1 species